rnacentral:rRNA from 1 species
CCAGAGUCCUCCGGGAGGCAGCAGUAGGGAAUCUUCGGCAAUGGGGGGAACCCUGACCGAGCAACGCCGCGUGAGUGAAGAAGGUUUUCGGAUCGUAAAGCUCUGUUGUAAGAGAAGAACGGGUGUGAGAGUGGAAAGUUCACACUGUGACGGUAUCUUACCAGAAAGGGACGGCUAACUACGUGCCAGCAGCCGCGGUAAUACGUAGGUCCCGAGCGUUGUCCGGAUUUAUUGGGCGUAAAGCGAGCGCAGGCGGUUAGAUAAGUCUGAAGUUAAAGGCUGUGGCUUAACCAUAGUAUGCUUUGGAAACUGUUUAACUUGAGUGCAGAAGGGGAGAGUGGAAUUCCAUGUGUAGCGGUGAAAUGCGUAGAUAUAUGGAGGAACACCGGUGGCGAAAGCGGCUCUCUGGUCUGUAACUGACGCUGAGGCUCGAAAGCGUGGGGAGCAAACAGGAUUAGAUACCCUGGUAGUCCACGCCGUAAACGAUGAGUGCUAGGUGUUAGGCCCUUUCCGGGGCUUAGUGCCGCAGCUAACGCAUUAAGCACUCCGCCUGGGGAGUACGACCGCAAGGUUGAAACUCAAAGGAAUUGACGGGGGCCCGCACAAG